rnacentral:rRNA from 1 species
UCGAACGAAGCACUUUAUUUGAUUUCCUUCGGGACUGAUUAUUUUGUGCCUUAGUGGCGGACGGGUGAGUAACGCGUGGGUAACCUGCCUUGUACAGGGGGAUAACAGUUGGAAACGGCUGCUAAUACCGCAUAAGCGCACAGCAUCGCAUGAUGCAGUGUGAAAAACUCCGGUGGUAUAAGAUGGACCCGCGUUGGAUUAGCUAGUUGGUGAGGUAACGGCCCACCAAGGCGACGAUCCAUAGCCGACCUGAGAGGGUGACCGGCCACAUUGGGACUGAGACACGGCCCAAACUCCUACGGGAGGCAGCAGUGGGGAAUAUUGCACAAUGGGCGAAAGCCUGAUGCAGCGACGCCGCGUGAGCGAAGAAGUAUUUCGGUAUGUAAAGCUCUAUCAGCAGGGAAGAUAAUGACGGUACCUGACUAAGAAGCACCGGCUAAAUACGUGCCAGCAGCCGCGGUAAUACGUAUGGUGCAAGCGUUAUCCGGAUUUACUGGGUGUAAAGGGAGCGCAGGCGGUGCGGCAAGUCUGAUGUGAAAGCCCGGGGCUCAACCCCGGUACUGCAUUGGAAACUGUCGUACUAGAGUGUCGGAGGGGUAAGCGGAAUUCCUAGUGUAGCGGUGAAAUGCGUAGAUAUUAGGAGGAACACCAGUGGCGAAGGCGGCUUACUGGACGAUAACUGACGCUGAGGCUCGAAAGCGUGNGGAGCAAACAGGAUUAGAUACCCUGGUANUCCACGCCGUAAACGAUGAAUACUAGGUGUAGGAGGUAUCGACCCCUCCUGUGCCGGAGU